rnacentral:rRNA from 1 species
AGGAAAGUAGGGGAUCGCAAGACCUUGCGCUUUUGGAGCGGCCGAUGUCUGAUUAGCUAGUUGGUGAGGUAAAGGCUUACCAAGGCUUCGAUCAGUAGCUGGUCUGAGAGGACGACCAGCCACACUGGGACUGAGACACGGCCCAGACUCCUACGGGAGGCAGCAGUGGGGAAUUUUGGACAAUGGGGGCAACCCUGAUCCAGCCAUGCCGCGUGAGUGAAGAAGGCCUUCGGGUUGUAAAGCUCUUUCAGCCGGAACGAAAAGGUUACGGUUAAUACCCGUGACUAAUGACGGUACCGGAAGAAGAAGCACCGGCUAACUACGUGCCAGCAGCCGCGGUAAUACGUAGGGUGCGAGCGUUAAUCGGAAUUACUGGGCGUAAAGCGUGCGCAGGCGGUUUUGUAAGUCAGACGUGAAAUCCCCGGGCUUAACCUGGGAACUGCGUUUGAAACUACAAAGCU